AUUGAACGCUGGCGGCAUGCCUUACACAUGCAAGUCGAGCGGGGUGAUGGUGCUUGCACUAUCACUUAGCGGCGGACGGGUGAGUAAUGCUUAGGAAUCUGCCUAUUAGUGGGGGACAACAUCUCGAAAGGGAUGCUAAUACCGCAUACGUCCUACGGGAGAAAGCAGGGGAUCACUUGUGACCUUGCGCUAAUAGAUGAGCCUAAGUCGGAUUAGCUAGUUGGUGGGGUAAAGGCCUACCAAGGCGACGAUCUGUAGCGGGUCUGAGAGGAUGAUCCGCCACACUGGGACUGAGACACGGCCCAGACUCCUACGGGAGGCAGCAGUGGGGAAUAUUGGACAAUGGGGGGAACCCUGAUCCAGCCAUGCCGCGUGUGUGAAGAAGGCCUUAUGGUUGUAAAGCACUUUAAGCGAGGAGGAGGCUCUUUCGGUUAAUACCCAAGAUGAGUGGACGUUACUCGCAGAAUAAGCACCGGCUAACUCUGUGCCAGCAGCCGCCGCUG
rnacentral:rRNA from 1 species